rnacentral:rRNA from 1 species
UAUUAUUUUAAUUGUAAAAAUAUAAACUUGAGUAGUAAUAGUUAGGAUCUUGAAACUCAAAGAAUUUGGCGGUGCUUUAAUCUUUUCAGAGGAAUCUGUUCUAUAAUUGAUAAUACACGUUAGAUGAUACUUGGUUUUGUAAUAGCAGUUUGUAUACCGCCGUCAUAAGAUUAUCUUUUUAGAGUUUAAUUUUCUUAAUAUUAUAAGAUAGUAUGUCAGGUCAAGGUGCAGUUUAUAACUAAGGAGAAAUGGAUUACAAUAGAAUAAUUUAUAAUGGAUUUUUUAAUGAGAAUUAGAAAUGAAGGUGGAUUUGAAGGUAAUAUUAUUAAAUUAUGAUAAUAUGAUUUAAGCUCUGAAGCAUGUACACAUCGCCCGUCGCUCUCGUUAUAAAAUGAG